rnacentral:rRNA from 1 species
CCCUUAGAUGCCCUGGGCGGCCCGCGCGCUACAAUGUCAGCUACUGAAGGUUAAUGCUUUGAAAGAGAGCGCGCUCUCCUUUUAAUUGCUCGCAUGCUGGGAUAAAUGAAUGCAAUUUUGUUUUGAACGAGGAAUUCCUAGUAGCCAUGUUUCACUAGAAGAUGGCGAAUGCGUCCCUGCCCUUUGUACACACCGCCCGUCGCUCCUACCGAUGAGCGUUUUGGCGAAGACGGUUUGAGUAGCUGCGUAAUUUCGUGUUGUUGACUCCGGCAGUUUGAGCCUUCACGUUUAGAGGAAGGAGAAGUCGUAACA